rnacentral:rRNA from 1 species
ACGCCGCGUGAGUGAUGAAGGUUCUCGGAUCGUAAAGCUCUGUUGCCAAAGACGAACAGCUAGGAGAGUAACUGCUCUUAGUGUGACGGUAUUUGAGAAGAAAGCCCCGGCUAACUACGUGCCAGCAGCCGCGGUAAUACGUAGGGGGCAAGCGUUGUCCGGAAUUAUUGGGCGUAAAGCGCGCGCAGGCGGUCCAUUAAGUCUGGUGUUUAAUCCCGGGGCUCAACCCCGGUUCGCAUCGGAAACUGGCGGGCUUGAGUGUAGGAGAGGAAAGUGGAAUUCCACGUGUAGCGGUGAAAUGCGUAGAGAUGUGGAGGAACACCAGUGGCGAAGGCGACUUUCUGGCCUAUAACUGACGCUGAGGCGCGAAACGUGGGGAGCAAACAGGAUUAGAUACCCUGGUAGUCCACGCCGUAA